GCGCACUUCGUUAUUAACAAACCUGUUUAUUGUAAUUUACCGUAUCCCAGUUUUGUUUGUUACAGUAAUAAUUCCAGCUCAAGUUGUAAACAUAUUUCCAGUACUUUUUAUUUGUAAUAUUUCUUCUAUCGACACAAAAGUAAAAGUAUCGCCUCCUUGCUUUGAACAAUUUAUAAACGAAUGGUUUAGACUGGCUUUAUGAACAUGUUUCAUUGAAAAGAUCCGACUCAAAAGAACGAUUCAUUCACGUUCGAUUCAUUCACGGUUAAUAUUGAUUUGUUCAUGUUCCCAGCACAAUCUACAUUUUAAGAUGAAUGUUUUAAGUUGUGUUACUUUUAUAAAGAAUAUCAGUAAUUUUAUGUUGUCUUGUAACUUUUGAAAAAGUGUUUAUGUUAAUUGUGAAAUGCGAAGCUCGCGUUUUAAAUCGGAUGUUUUUAGAUGACGGACAAGUCACAGUGUGCACUUCCUCAUUUAACUGACCAAUGACUGGCUCAGGAUUGGAGAAUGGAAAUACCUGGAAUAGAACUACAGACAAUAUUAAAUGGCCACAGGUGACAUCUUCCUUCUGCUUCUUACUAGAGUGGAUUUGGAGAAAUGUAGCAUUACACCACUUGCUCACCAAUGGAUCCUCUGUAGUGAAUGGGUGCCGUCAGAAUGAGAGUCCAAACAGCUGAUUAAAAACAUCACAAUAAUCCACAGGUAAUCUGCACGACUCCAAUCCAUCAAUUAAUUGAAACGUCAGGAAACAGAAAGUCUAAAGUGCAAAACAAUAAGCAGUUAGACGUAAUUUGCUGCAUAGUAUCUAAGACAAAACUUUUAAUUGCUUCCUUUUUCUCACACCCUUCUCUUAAUUUGCUGCUUCCUCUGGAGGGAUAGAAUCAGAAUUACUCUCUUUACAAAUCCAUGUAACCUUUGUGACAUCUGAUGUUAAAAGUACAGACUGAAAUGUGACUUUUGUACAGUAGAGAAUGCCAGUUUGAUGUAAUUUUGAAUUAGACAUGAUCUAUUGUUUUUAGACAAUCUUAUUUAUCUUGAUUAAUUAGAGGUUCUAUGACUAUGACUCUGGAGGGGAAUUCAAUUCUCUAGUAGCUAGUAUUAUUAAUAAUAUAAAUUAUUAAGCUGAUGUUUUGCGGUUUUAAUUAAUAUAUAAAGACAGAACUACAUUUUGUGCUAUUUGACAAAAAAGCAACCACUUUUUUGCUGUCAUUGGUUUUAAAAGCAAAAUCAAAUUUCUGCUUUUAAAGGCAGCACAAGGGAUCUACUGUUUCAUAAUGUGUGAACACAAACUGAAUGCCAGAAAUAGAUAUGCAUUAGGCUUUUAGUGUUUUUUUUCCCCCUUCCUUUUCUUUCUUUCUUUCUUUCUUUUUUUUUCUUCAACCCCUGAGUCCAACAGUACUGCAGGGGGUCCAUCAAUUGUUGUUUGAACUCAGUCAAGUUUUUUUUAUGAUAAUAUUGUAUUUUUUCACACCUAUUUUUAUUUGAGUUAACUUCAAACAGACAUAAAAUUAAGGAGCUAAAGUUCAACUAUAUCUUUCAUUUUCACUUUAAAAUUCAAAUGUAUUUUACAAGUAAAUGACUGUGUACAAUAAUGAUUAUAAAGGCUUAGCAAUGCAAACAUUAUAACUUCAAGGUUACAACAAGUGACUUCCACCACAUGAUUAAAUAAUCUUUAUUAUCCGUUUACAAUUGUUCUGGCAACAAGACGAGCAUUUAAACAAUAUUACUGUAGGCCUAAUAUCAAUACUGAAGCCUUACAGUUUCAUUUUACAGUAAAUACACUGUAAAAAAAAAAUCCGUAAAAUUUACAGUAAAAAUCCGGCAGCUGUGGUUGCCGGAAUUCUACCGUAAAAUAUACGGUAGCAACAUUUUAAGUUUUACGGUUUUAACUUAAAUUUACAGUUAAAUACCAUAAUUUCAUUAACUGAUAUAAUGUUAAUAUACCAACCGAUUGAAGUACUGAAAUCUGUUUUGUACCUUUGAAAUACACUGAUAACCACCAAAUACAGAAGGUGAUGAGAAAGUCACAUGAUGAACCAAAGCCCAUCACAAGCAGCUUUUAAAUAAUAAUAUAUAUAGAAGGUGCACAGUGUCAUUCACACAAGCACUAAACACCAUCAUGGUGAGACUCAUUAAACUGAAAUAUGCAAUAAACAUUAAUUUAACAACAUUAGAUGUAACAUACAACCCUAAUAAACAUAACUGAUAAGAAAAAACUAAGAAACCUAGUUAUUUCAAAUAAAAAACAUCAAAUUCAAACAAAAAGUUUUUUCCCUGUACAUUUUGCAUUCUUUUUCACUUCCAAAAGCGGUAUUUCACCAUAAAAUUGUCUGAAAUGUCUAUUACAGUUUUUCACCGUAUAUAUUAGGGGAAUUGCCGUUAACCAUUUAGCAGGUUUUUACCGUAGCUUUUUCACAGUUUUUUACCGUUAAAAUCAUGGUAAUUUUCUACAGUGUACAUUCAAUAGCUGAGGUGCAAGUUGAUAGUUGUGUUUGAAUGAAACCAGAGAGAGCGUGGCCUUGUGAUAUGACACAUGUGAAAGAAGCGCCGACCUCAAAUACCCGGAUGAGUGGUAUGUUAUACGCUGUUGUUUAACAUCGAGGAAUAACACACCUUGGAAUUUUGCGACUGACCAGAAUUAGCAGUGUAAUAAUACAUGGGUGUGAAAUGCUUAGUAGAGGUCAGAGAAGUGCAUUUUUGUGUCAUUGGUGAGUUAUGUUUCAUUUCUUUAUGUCUUACGCUCCCCUUUUUAUAGAUACAUGCUCAGCUGUGUUACAUACGUCAUGGAACCUGUGACUUUAACACAUUUGGUCUCAGAUGCCCUUUUCUAUCUAUUUCUCCCUGCCCAAGUGAUCUGGUGUUGUGAUUCCUCAACUCACUGUACUGUAACAUAUUGCAAUUUCAAAACUCAACAUGGCAGUUUGAUUUUAAGGGUUAGAAAAUAUUCAUGGAAUUUAUCGACUACUAUACCACAUUAGUUUUUUUUUUUUUUUUUAUUAAUUUAUUAAUUUUUUUUUAAUCAUAAUUCCAUGUGAUUAAAAAGCCUUGUAAAGGUCAUUUCAAACACCAAGAAGUCUGACAUGAGUGUCAGAAAGAAACUUCACUCUGUCUGUGCUUUAGAAAUCUCACACAUUUCUUGUUUCAGUAAUUUAGCUGCCCUUACUUACUCACACCUGGUUAUGUUCAGUCAUACAGCUAUGAUAUUGAACAUCUGACCUUUAUUUGUUAAAACACAUGCAAAUGAACUGAAGAUUACACCCACCAUUGGAAAGUUUUAUCCUCACUUCCCUCAGUUUUAUUAUUGGUGUUAUUUAUUCUUGUCAUUUAUAUGAUAAUUAACUAAAUAAAAGCACUGCAGUGAUUGAAAUUGGGAAGGUUGCAGGGUAUAUUCACCCCAAAGGCAACACUUGACAUUGUAAAGCAAUAAACUGGCAACUCCAAUAUUGAAUUAGUCAUUUAAAGAUCAUAGAAUCAAAGCUCCAGGUUCUGACAUGAAGGCUCUUUGCUAAUAACAUUUCAAUAACAGAUUGUAAUCUCGAAGAUCUGAAUGCUAGUGGACAAACGUAGCAUUUGACAUUGGGCUAUGUGUAAAAAGUUAUUUUUAUUAGUUCUAUUUGAGAAGGCUUUGUUUGAUUUGACUAGCUCACUACUAUGAAUAUAACAGAAUAAAUUGGAAUCGUGUUUAUUAUGAUCAAAGUCUUUCAUGUUGGUUGUAAUCAUUCAGUCUGAGUUUUACAAAUAGAAUCCCCAAUGGUCCCCAUCACCAGGACCCUGCUCUGACAAAGACGGGACACACUUGAUCAGUCUAGCCUUGUAGUGGAGAGAAACAAAAGAAGAAAAAACACAGUUUUUUCUCAAUGGACAGAUCUUUAAAAUCUGACUGUCAAAUCAUCUCUUUAUGACAGACCUCUACAAGCCUUUUUGAUCAUUCAGAGUGUGAUGUUAGAUGCAAAUGAUCCACCGGGGGAAUACCAAAUGGCAUGUCCUUUUUUAAAAGUCAUGAAAAAAUGAAUUCAGCAUGGUGCACAAAAGUGGUGUUGCACAAAGUACCUCUUUACCGAAGUAAUAUCUGCCUCUAUCUUUUAUUCCAGAAGAUCCAGAUGGGUAAGAAUUAUUAUUCAAUACAAUAAUGUGGAAGGACCACUUUCAUUAAGGUAGAAUUAAUGUAUUUAAUGUAUUCAUAUUAUAUUGGUUUAUUGAGAAUUUCAAUUCAGCUUUUUUUAAACUAUUAAAAAUGAUGCAAAUUUCACAAAAGUAAUAUUAUGCAUAAUUAAAAGAUUUAUUGUAAACAUUAAUGAUUCAUUGUAGAAAUAAAACAAUGGGAACAGUAUGUAUUUAAUAUAUAGACACGCAGGAUAUUUUUCAAGUGUGGGUACAGUAUGUUGUGCAUGUGGUGACAUGGCUUUCUUCAGUUCCUUUACAGAAAUUAUAGAUAUUAAUAAAAUCUGCAGUGUGCCCCAGUCUGUCUGCUCCAGUGAUCGGCUCCCGAAGUCUGUUCCUCCGCCUGUGUGAGGUGUGUGCUCUGGUCCGUGCUCUGGUCCGUAUUCAAGGUGUUCCUGUCAAGGCAAAGAUCAACUAAGCAAGACAGAAGCUGACAUCUUCUAGGCAAGGAACCCAAACGGAGUAAAAAAACCUUGAGAGAAACCAGGCUCAGUGGGAGGAAAACUUCUCAUCUGGCCUAAAGGAUUGAACACAUUAUACAGUGGGGCAAAUCUCCCGUCAACAUAUCAUCAGCAGUUACCUGGACAUCAUACUUACCACCCUCAAGCCAUAUUGCCUUGCUCAAUCCAAAAUAAACAUUUGUGAUCCAUCUAACUCCCGGUUUCAGUCUGCUUCUGUAACAGUUCUUUGCUUACAUUUAAAUUUCCUUUUUUCAAAUUCACAUUAGAAUUGUAAAAUAAAUAUGCAUCUAGAUGUAUGAUGUACACUGCAUUGGACAGAUGUAGAACUGUUCAAAUACAAUCAUAAACAUAAAAUAUAUAAAUCUGACCCAAAAUAUGGAAAUGGAAUGCUUGUAUUUUUAUUUUAUAAAAGAAAAAAAAGAUUACAAAAUAAGGUACUUUUCCUUUGUGAUUUGGUAUUUCAUGCAUCGCAGGGUUAAUUUCCAAAACUAAUGAAACUAUUUAUUUAUUUUAGUUUUAUUGCAUGUUCUUAAAAACAGAAAAGCUAUAGAUUUCCAACUCAAUGAGUUUAUUGUGUCAUUAAAAAUCUUAGUCCGUUUUCCUCAUGUCUAAAGCAAAGAAUAGACUGUGAAAUCCUCUUUUAAAUGAUCAAUCAAGGAACUGGUUACACAGAUAUUGCAUGUAGAAAACACACAUGAAUGCAGAGCAGGAGCUGAAUGAAGCCUUGAGGGUGUUCUGAUUGGGAUUAAACAUUUCUGCUCAGACGACAAAUAUUGUAUCAUUUGCAUUUUAAAAUUGCAUUCACCAUCUCUGAUACUUUGCUCAUCUCCGUUUCUGAACACUGCUAUGAGACAUUUUGUUGCUGUUUAUGUUACUCUGAGAACAAUUUUUAAAGUCUAUUUUAUCGAAGCCUUUACAGUAAGCCUCUUUUCCUCAAGUAAGGAAAUGAGCGCU